rnacentral:lncRNA from 1 species
UUCUGGAUAUGGUGAAGUGUGCAUAGAGGUUGUGAGUGAUCAAUAAAGAAUCAGUCACUCCUAAUAAGGAGAGCGAACAUCCUAUGUGAUCUCAUAGGAUGAUGAUUCUAGAAAUCUUUGGCCAAAGCAGGGUGAUAAUUAGAAAAGAAUUUUUAAUAUAUCAUCAACUGAAUCAUCAUCUUCAAAUCAAUAUACAUAAGGAUAAAUGAUUGGGUUUGACAUAUUUUCAUACCCAUAGCUCAUCUGGGAUAUUGUU